rnacentral:rRNA from 1 species
UACAGAGGGUGCAAGCGUUAAUCGGAAUUACUGGGCGUAAAGCGCGCGUAGGUGGUUCGUUAAGUUGGAUGUGAAAUCCCCGGGCUCAACCCAGGAACUGCGUCCGAUACUGGCAGGCUUGAAUCCGGGAGAGGGAUGCGGAAUUCCAGGUGUAGCGGUGAAAUGCGUAGAUAUCUGGAGGAACACCGGUGGCGAAGGCGGCAUCCUGGACCGGCAUUGACGCUGAGGCGCGAAAGCGUGGGGAGCGAACAGG